GCCAGGUGUGGUGUCGUGCACCUGUAGUCCCAGCUACUCGGGAGGCUGAGGCAGGAGAAUCACUUGAACCCGGGAGGCAGAGGUUGCAGUGAGCCGAGAUCACGCCACUGCACUCCAGCCUGAGUGACAGAGUGAGACUCUGUCUCAA
rfam:Homo sapiens chromosome 14, GRCh38 reference primary assembly.